UGGCUCAGAACGAACGCUGGCGGCAGGCUUAACACAUGCAAGUCGAGCGCGUAGCAAUACGAGCGGCGAACGGGUGAGUAACGCGUGGGAAUCUAUCCAGAACUAUGGGAUAACACAGAGAAAUUUGUGCUAAUACCAUAUACGCCCUACGGGGGAAAGAUUUAUUGGUUCUGGAUGAGCCCGCGUUGGAUUAGCUGGUUGGUAGGGUAAUGGCCUACCAAGGCGACGAUCCAUAGCUGGUCUGAUAGGACGAUCAGCCACACUGGGACUGAGACACGGCCCAGACUCCUACGGGAGGCAGCAGUGGGGAAUAUUGGACAAUGGGCGCAAGCCUGAUCCAGUCAUGCCGCGUGAGUGAUGAAGGCCUUAGGGUUGUAAAGCUCUUUCACCGGUGAAGAUAAUGACGGUAACCGGAGAAGAAGCCCCGGCUAACUUCGUGCCAGCAGCCGCGGUAAUACGAAGGGGGCUAGCGUUGUUCGGAUUUACUGGGCAUAAAGCGCACGUAGGCGGAUAUUUAAGUCAGAGGUGAAAUCCCAGGGCUCAACCUUGGAAUUGCCUUUGANACUGGAUAUCUCGAGUGCAGAAGAGGUAAGUGGAAUUCCGAGUGUAGAGGUGAAAUUCGUAGAUAUUCGGAGGAACACCAGUGGC
rnacentral:rRNA from 2 species